rnacentral:rRNA from 1 species
UGCAGUCGUAGGGGACNACGUACUUGCUCUGUCUGAUCAGUGGCGAACGGGUGAGUAACACGUGAGUAACCUGCCCCCGACUCUGGAAUAACCGUGGGAAACGACGGCUAAUACCGGAUAUGAGACGCACGGGCAUCUGUGUGUCUGGAAAGAUUUAUCGGUCAGGGAUGGACUCGCGGCCUAUCAGCUUGUUGGUGGGGUAAUGGCCCACCAAGGCGACGACGGGUAGCCGGCCUGAGAGGGCGACCGGCCACACUGGGACUGAGAUACGGCCCAGACUCCUACGGGAGGCAGCAGUGGGGAAUAUUGCACAAUGGGCGCAAGCCUGAUGCAGCGACGCCGCGUGAGGGAUGAAGGCCUUCGGGUUGUAAACCUCUUUCAGCAGGGAAGAAGCGAAAGUGACGGUACCUGCAGAAGAAGCGCCGGCUAACUACGUGCCAGCAGCCGCGGUAAUACGUAGGGCGCAAGCGUUGUCCGGAAUUAUUGGGCGUAAAGAGCUCGUAGGCGGUUUGUCGCGUCUGCUGUGAAAACCUGAGGCUCAACCUCGGGCUUGCAGUGGGUACGGGCAGACUAGAGUGCGGUAGGGGUGACUGGAAUUCCUGGUGUAGCGGUGGAAUGCGCAGAUAUCAGGAGGAACACCGAUGGCGAAGGCAGGUCACUGGGCCGCAACUGACGCUGAGGAGCGAAAGCAUGGGGAGCGAACAGGAUUAGAUACCCUGGUAGUCCAUGCCGU